rnacentral:rRNA from 1 species
UACGUAGGGGGCGAGCGUUGUCCGGAAUCAUUGGGCGUAAAGAGCGUGUAGGCGGCUUGGCAAGUCUGACGUGAAAGCCCGCGGCUCAACCGCGGAUUGUCGUUGGAAACUGCCUCGCUAGAGUCCGGAAGAGGAGAGCGGAAUUCCUGGUGUAGCGGUGGAAUGCGCAGAUAUCAGGAGGAACACCGGUGGCGAAGGCGGGACUCUGGGCCGAUACUGACGCUGAGGAGCGAAAGCGUGGGGAGCAAGCAGG